rnacentral:rRNA from 1 species
CAAGUCGAACGGUAGAUAUCCUUCGGGAUAUUGAGAGUGGCGAACGGGUGAGUAACACGUAGAUAAUCUACCCUCAAAUGGGGGACAACCCAGGGAAACUUGGGCUAAUACCGCAUGAGUGCAGCGCAUAAAGCAUCUUAUCAGGGUGUUUUAUGCGUUGCAUAAAAGGUGGCCUUCGGGCUGUCGUUUGAGGAUGAGUCUGCGUCCUAUUAGUUAGUUGGUGAGGUAAUGGCUCACCAAGGCGAUGAUAGGUAGGCGGCCUUAACGGGUGGUCGCCCACACUGGGAUUGAGAUACGGCCCAGACUCCUACGGGAGGCAGCAGUCNAGAAUAGUCUACAAUGGACGAAAGUCUGAUAGUGCGACGCCGCGUGAACGAANAAUCCCUUCGGGGUGUAAAGUUCUUUUAUAUGUGAGCAAUGCCUUAUAUGUGAAUAGCAUGUA